UUGGUGAGCGACUUCCCCAGAGAUGGAGGCUGCCUUGGGCCCUACCCGGGCCAGGGGGCAGUACUAACUGAACGGAAAGUGCGUCUGGGUGAUAGUGGCGGGUGAUAGCGGCCGUGUCUGAGUGCCAACACGUGAACUCCACACCAGACGCGCCAUAGAUUUGUCUGGCUCGAAAAUGAUUCAGAUGGCCAUGAUUCAAAGCUAGGGUCUGAGAACCGCGCACUGGGCAGGUCACGGGAGUCGAGCGCCUCCAUCUUGUGGAACGUGAAGAGAACCUCCUUGAGCUUCGCAGCCGCUCUGGCUUGGCCCCUAUGGAAUGUGGAACGGAAACUUCAUCAUCUUGCGGCCAGCCACCUACCCUGCCACAUGCCCCCUCCCGCUAUGGUCAAGAUUUGGAAUCUAGAGUUGGAAAGACCUGUGUUUAAAGCCCUUUAAUCUGAGCAUGUGGAAAUUCCAGGGGCAGGGGGAAG